rnacentral:tRNA from 1 species
UAAAAAUAUAAGCUAAAUAAGCUAGAGAGCUCAUAACUCUUUGAUAGGCGUGCCUUGUUUUU